rnacentral:miRNA from 1 species
GCACGGUGAUGGAGCUGAGUGCC